CACGUAGGGCGCAAGCGUUGUCCGGAAUUAUUGGGCGUAAAGAGCUCGUAGGCGGUCUGUUACGUCUGCUGUGAAAACCCAGGGCUUAACCCUGGGCUUGCAGUGGAUACGGGCAGACUAGAGGCAGGUAGGGGAGAAUGGAAUUCCCGGUGUAGCGGUGAAAUGCGCAGAUAUCGGGAGGAACACCGGUGGCGAAGGCGGCGAUCUGGGUCGAUACUGACGCUGAGGUGCGAAAGCGUGGGGAGCAAACAGG
rnacentral:rRNA from 1 species